UGGGAUCGUUCAGGUCAGCUGCUUGGGCCGGGAGGCCUGGGUGUGCCUCAGCCAGACACAGAGCUGUCAGCAGACCUCCCUGUGCUGGGCCACUGCCCACUUCGGGUCCAGGCUAGUGUCAGGGCU